rnacentral:pre_miRNA from 1 species
CAAAGUGCUCAUAGUGCAGGUAGUUUUGGCAUUACUCUACUGUAGUGUGGGCACUUUAAGU